rnacentral:lncRNA from 1 species
UCUAAUAAAACUCUUCAGAUCUUUCAAUGCUUCCCAAUUGCAAUAAUGUGAGACACCUCUAGUCCUUGCAAGAAAGCACCUAUCAUUGCAAGAAGCAUAGUGCAGGAAACUAGAGGAUCCUGUGUGUAACUUCUAUGGCAAAGCUUAAGCAACUGCAUCAAAGUGCCUCUUUUUCUACCUUGCAUAGGGAUGGUACCGACUACUGCCACUAUAGCCUCCCCUUCCAUACAGCCCACCUGCUCCG